UUCUGUACCUCAGUGUAGUGGUGCAGGUGGCCCACGCCAGCAGGGGGUGGGGCAGAAGCAGCCAGGGAGGCUGUGGAAACCUGCAGCUAAUUAGGACAAGGCUCGUUAGGAGCCAGACAGGAGGCAGCUCCUGGGGCAGCCCAGAUAUAAGGAGAGGGAAUCUGUCCCUGACUAGUGAGGGAGGAUGAGGACGGGCACGGGCACGGGCACGGGCACGGGCUCCUGAGAUCCCCGCUCCCUCCAAACAAGUCUAGUUAAUGCUGUUUGAAAGUGGCGUGGUGAUAUCAUCCUGUCCUGAACAGAAUCUCCUCUAACCUGUGCUGGCUUAUAAGGGUGCUCUGGCCCUUCCCCGGAACACUCUCAACACACCCCUACAGCAAGGAGCAAGCAGGGGCUUGUGUAGAGUCAGCAACGUCAGCUGAGAAUUCACCCAUGCCAGGGCAAUCGUCAGUUGCCCAUUAAGGGCAGUUUUAAGGUCCAUUUGCACUUUUCCAAUGGGCUUUUGAUCUGAGAGGAUGCUGCACAUUCAACUCUUCAGGCGGAAGAGACAGGCCUUGAGCUGUAAUUAUAAAGACUUCAGUUCUCCCUGGUGACAUCAGCUGGUUAACAAAAUUUGGAUCACAGGAAUGAAGCAACCCAUAGUCUGUUUGCCGCAGCAUUGUUCACACUCCAGAGAAGAUAAUUGUAUAUGAAAUACCAUUCAGUAAUAUGCUCUAUUAAUUUUAGUGGUAGUUUUUUCUCUGUAAGCUUUUCAUCAGGAUUCAAAUCAUCAUCUGUGUUCCAUAGUCAAAGGGUACAAAGCAUAAUAAAACAGCAACAGAAUAAGUCUUUCUGUAAAAUUAUAUUUUGAAGCAUAUGCUAAGACCAUGUACUAAAUGAAACAUGCCAUAAUAAUUACAUUUACUAAAACUUCCUAAGGUGUAAUAAGCUUCUAACACAGCUGGUCUUGAAAUCAACCACAGAUUUCAGCAGCUAAACUUAAGGGCUGUAUACUGCGGCUCUUACUCAGGCAAAACUUCCCUUGCUAUCUAGAGGUAGCUGACCUGAAUAAAGACUCCAGGUUUGAGCCUUCUGUUUCUAGAAAGCAUGAAUGACUGAAAUUUUAAUGCAAUG